AUGAUGGAUAGGCCAACUACUUCUUCUAAUCCACUCUUCAUUGAGCAAGAUGAGGACCCAAACAUCUAUGUUACCAAGAACCACCUCUUCGGCGCACAAAGAGCUUUGCAUCAAGAGAAUGAAGCAUUGGGCGACUACAUCGACCUACUUGCUACUGACUUGCGGCAAUCCGAGCAACGUACAAGAGACUACUUCGACAACAAGCUCGCCACACAAAAGGAGGAUAACAAUGCAAGGAUGGCAAGUCCCCCUAAGGCUCGUUCGCAUCGUCGCCAAGACAAUGAAGAUCAUCAAGCUCCACAAAACCCAUUUCAUGGCAAUGGUUUACAAGGCCGCCUCCAAGAACGUGAAUGA
rnacentral:rRNA from 1 species